rnacentral:rRNA from 1 species
UACGUAGGGGGCAAGCGUUGUCCGGAAUAAUUGGGCGUAAAGGGCGCGUAGGCGGCAAGGCAAGUCAGCAGUGGAAGUCCAAUUUUCAAGGUGGGGAGGGCUGUUGAAACUGCGUUGCUUGAGUGCAGGAGAGGUUAUCGGAAUUCCCGGUGUAGCGGUGAAAUGCGUAGAGAUCGGGAGGAACACCAGUGGCGAAGGCGGGUAACUGGGCUGCAACUGACGCUGAGGCGCGAAAGUGUGGGGAGCAAACAGGAUUAGAUACCCUGGUAGUCCCU